UGCUAUCGACAAUCAUAAUUCUUAUCGUCAAGAAUUAUCAUACUCCACCAUAAAAGAGUAUCGCCACUUGGAACCACUUUAUCGACUCCAAGAAUUUUCCAUCGGCCAUGUCGGAUCCCGCUAAUAGUUUAUGGUGCAACCCUCCUGUUGACUUUUCCGAGAGUUCAUUAGCCAUCGACAUAUUUUUUCCACCACACACUUUGCAUCAACGUCAACCAAUGCCGUGCGCAUUUUCGUGGACCAGCUACCAAUAAUCCGUCCUCUUCCAUGGCAUCUCUACGAGUAGCAAUCAUGCCAUAAGGACACACAUCUCUCAAUUACAGAGAGA
rnacentral:lncRNA from 1 species